rnacentral:rRNA from 1 species
CCAACAGGGAUUGCCUCAGUAACGGCGAGUGAAGCGGCAACAGCUCAAAUUUGAAAUCUGGCCCUCGGGCUCGAGUUGUAAUUUGCAGAGGAUGCUUCGGGUGCGACUCCAGGCCAAGUUCCUUGGAACAGGAGGUCAUAGAGGGUGAAAAUCCCGUACUUGCCUGGCGGUCUAGCCCAUGUGUAGCUCCUUCGACGAGUCGAGUUGUUUGGGAAUGCAGCUCUAAUUGGGAGGUAAAUUUCUUCUAAAGCUAAAUACCGGCCAGAGACCGAUAGCGCACAAGUAGAGUGAUCGAAAGAUGAAAAGCACUUUGGAAAGAGAGUUAAACAGCACGUGAAAUUGUUGAAAGGGAAGCGCUUGCAAUCAGACUUGCCUGCUGGUGAUCAGCUGUCCUUCGGGCCGGUGCACUCACCUGCAGUCAGGCCAGCAUCAGUUCUGACGGUUGGAUAACGGCAAUGGGAAUGUAGCUCCUUUUGGGGAGUGUUAUAGUCCGUUGUGCAAUGCAAUCUGUUGGGACUGAGGACCACGCUUCGGCACGGAUGCUGGCGUAAUGGUUGUCAGCGGCCCGUCUUGAAACACGGACCAAGGAGUCGAUCAUCUAUACGAGUGUUUGGGCUGCAAACCCAUGCGCGGAAUGAAAGUGAACGGAGGUGGGAGCUUUCGGGCGCACCAUCGACCGAUCCUGAAAUUUAUGGAUGGAUUUGAGUAAUAGUAUAGCUGAUCGGACCCGAAAGAUGGUGAACUAUGCCUGAAUAGGGUGAAGCCAGAGGAAACUCUGGUGGAGGCUCGCAGCGGUUCUGACGUGCAAAUCGAUCGUCAAAUUUGGGUAUAGGGGCGAAAGACUAAUCGAACCAUCUAGUAGCUGGUUGCUGCCGAAGUUUCCCUCAGGAUAGCAGUAGUGAACUCAGUUUUAUGAGGUAAAGCGAAUGAUUAGAGGCCUAGGGGGCGAAACGCCCUCUACCUAUUCUCAAACUUUAAAUAUGUAAGAGGCCCUUGUUACUUAGUUGAACGUGGGCAUUAGAAUGUAGCACUACUAGUGGGCCAUUUUUGGUAAGCAGAACUGGCGAUGCGGGAUGAACCGAACGUGGGGUUAAGGUGCCAGAGUGCAGGCUCAUCAGACACCACAAAAGGUGUUAAUUCAUCUAGACAGCCGGACGGUGGCCAUGGAAGUCGGAAUCCGCUAAGGAGUGUGUAACAACUCACCGGCCGAAUGAAUUAGCCCUGAAAAUGGAUGGCGCUCAAGCCUGCCACCUAUACCCCGCCGUCAGGGUAGAUACGAUGCCCUGACGAGUAGGCGGCCGUGGAGGGGGAAACUCACCGGGUCCGGACACAAUAAGGAUUGACAGAUUGAGAGCUCUUUCUUGAUUUUGUGGGUGGU